CCUUCCAGCCUCCGGCACCCUGAGAACUGGGUGUGAGUGCUGAUUUCUCCACCUGUCUUAUUUCUUAAUAUCUGCAACCAGCUCAGAGCCAGGGAUAAGUCAAGACUCCACCAGCCCAUGUAUGGCUGCCCGGCUGCCCCCAGCCUUGCCCUCAGUUCUUCCCCGAGGGCAUGUCCUGUUGAGAGCCGGUUUCACCUGUGCAGUGUGGCCUGAUGGCCCAGCACCCAGGAGCUCUGCGCACCCUGCCGCCAUGGGCCAUCCGUCCCCAGACCUCUUCCCACAGGGUCACUGUGGUCCACCGUCCUGCCCUCGGGGAAUCUCAGCCUCCCUCUCACAGGUGCACACAUGGGGAGCAGCCAAGGAUUUCUGCAGAAAAAUUCACUCCAGAGGUCAGCAGCUAGAAGCACAAAUGGAGAGUGAGUGAGCACGAGCGCCUCGUGGACUCAGCCCUCCCAGACUUUGGCUGGGUGUAUCCCUACUACAGUGAGAUGUGAACUCUGGAACCUCUCAAGCUACAAGCCAUUCCCCACAGGAUUAUCUGCCUUCACUUUUCUAAUGUAACAACUGCUUUCCAAGGCAGUGUAGCACAGGUGAUUAAGAGUGGAUACUGCUGCAAGAGUGCCUGGAUUUCGAAGCUGGCUCUACUACUUACUGGCUGUGCAAUCUUGCGCAAGCCACUUAACCUGUCUGUGGUUCAGUUCCCUUAGCUAUAAAAAGGAGACAGAAAUAGUACCUACCUCACACGUUGCUAUGAGGAUUAAUUGAAAUAAUAUAAAUAGAAAGCACCAAGAAUAGUGUGGCACAGAGAGUAUUAUGUAAGUGUAUGCUAUAAUUAUUAAUGAUACCUUCUAUUUUCAUAAGUGUUUUUCCCUUUAUUAAGAGUUUUGUAAAGGAAUUAAUCUUGUAUAGUUCAUACCUGUGUUCUUCCAUUGCAUAGAGCAUAGCUUUUAUUUGCUAUAGCAAAUAACAUUUUUGCAAAUAGCAAAGAAAAUUUUGUUGAAUAAAUAAAUGAGUGAAUGAAUUCCUAUAUUACUAGACACGGGCAAAAAUGUUUUAAGGUGCCAGCAUCAUACCAAGAAACACAGAUGUCAGAAGUAGACACAGAGCUUUCU
rnacentral:lncRNA from 1 species